UGUAAAUCAAUGUUUCACGAACCGGCACUAUUCUUUAAACAACAAUUUCUUUGGCAUGAUCGGUCAUCAAGACAAAUUGGUACAAUGGGACUUGUAAAACUGACAAUUACAAUUUCAUUUUGGAUAUUUAUUGUAAACGGGUCUUGUCCUUUUGAAUACUACCAGUGCUCUGAGUUCCUUGAUUUGUGUUGUCCUGAUGGCUACAAAUGUACUGGUAAUACUUCUUGUGUAAAGAACCUGACAUACACAACCUCAUCAUCAGGAGGGGCCAUUGCUGGUGGCAUUUUAGGCGGCAUAGUUUAAUAGCACUCGUAUGCAGCUGUAUCUCAGCGGCUGUUAGAUCAAAGUCAUAGUUCUACGGAGAAAAAUAGUCGGCGGAAAGACCAAAGCCAAGGAUCAAUUACCAAACUAGAUUACGCUACCCAUAUGGCAGCAAAAUACCGCUACUGAAUAAAAAAAACACUUCCGGGUAUUAUUAACUUGUAUAACCUAUGUAUAUUAUCACAAAUUGAAUAUAAAAGUACUUGUCUCGUACAUUAUUUGAAUCUGA